ACCAUCAGGUAGCUCUCACCGCUGGUCACUUGACGGGUCACACACUGAUACUUUCCCAUGCAUCAACAAUCGCCUCAUCUCUCACCACUCUCUCUCACCGUUCUCUCUUCUUCAUUUUCUCUCUGCCACCGCCGCCAUUCUCCACCGUCCUCGCCACCACGUAGCUGUUCGCGCCGCCGUCCUUGCCACCAUCCCAUCCUCGCCGCUGAGGCCCCCUAUCCAUUUCUCUUUCGCGAACAGCAGCGGUCCGAGCCGCCGCCGCUGAUGUAUCCUUCUCAUCCUCGGCCGACGAUCAGCAGCAGAAACAAGUCAUCGUCGUUGUCUAUGGUGCUCUCUCUCCAACUCAUCCCUUGGUCGACGAGCAGUAGCAGUACCAGGUCGCCCUAAUUUCUCUCUCUAAUUUUGUGCAGCUGCAAAACCUAACUUUCCAGUUUGUUUCAACUCUGCAGCUGAGGGCAAUGCCACAAUUCUCGUAUGCCAUCGAUGUGCCCUACGACCACCCCUCCUUUCAACUCUCAAGUAUCCCUAAUCUCCACUCUUUUUUCUUAUUUCUCAUUAUACACCAAUUUUGGUCAUUUUUUUUUAUAAGUUUGAGUUAAUUUACUCUGCAAAUAUGUGAAAUAACCUUAUUACCUUAUGUUUCACUUUAUAAAUGUGUGAGAUAGUUUUUGUUGUUUGGUUUGUUAUUAUGAUUCCAUAUGCUUGCAACUUGCAUUGAUAUAUAAUGCUUUAAUGUUUGCGUCAAAUUACAAAAAGAUGACGAGUUUCUCUAUUUUCCCGUCUUUUUGUUCCUCUAAUGAAUGUGAUUAUAAUUAGUGAGGUAGAUUUCUUGAUCUUCUCCAAAUUAAAUAUGUUUGAAUCCAAUAGAGAUGACGAUGAUCUGCAGGAAGUAAGAUUUGGAGGCAUGAAUAUCGAUCCAUUAGCUUGGCCGGACCGUAAGUUUCCGGGUAGAUCAUUCUUUCCUGCUCAGGUAUGGUAUUGGCACCAAAUUAAUAUGGCAGGACUUGCCUCCUAUUUUUUUAAUCUUUGAUAAGAUAGAGAGUAUUAUUUGAUACGUCUCUCACCUGCAAAGGCAGAGCUUUUUCAACAAAGAAUGUCUAUAGCCAGUGACAUAUUAGCCUCUAGGACUUCUCCCUCCAAGGUUAGUUAGAUUGUUUAUUUAUUAAUUUUUUUUGUUGUUUGAGAAUCAGAUUGCUUCAAUGUUGUUUUGUUGAUCUGAAUCUGAAUCUGAAUUUGUAGUUUCUGGAAGUUUGAACUAGCGUGGCGGUUCAGCUUGAUUUAAGUGAGUAGGGAGGUUUUUAUUUUGGUUGAAGAUCUUUAUGCUUAACGGUUGUUGAAUUUUGUUGAUAUCUGUUUAUUUGGAACUGAGUUUGUUUCAAUUUACUUGCUUAGUUUAUAUCAUUGAGGUUUUUCCAUAUUUAUUGCUUGGGUUAGAUGCUAGCAAGAACUCAUACCUGUUAUCAUCAUUUGCAGUUUUGUCUUGUGGUACACCAAGGAGGAAUAUUGUUCAAUUACUUUUUCUUUCUUAGAGAAGCUUAGUAUUGGGUUAGUAUUUGGUUGAUGGGGAUUCUGGCCAAAAGUAAUGAUUAAGUUGGUAAUUAAGAUAACAUUUUCAAAGAUUGUAGAUAUAACAUUCAUUAUAUUAUUAUGCUUACUAAAAUAUGAAACUUUUAGGGGGUUUAUACAUGUAUUGAGCACCAAUGCACACAUUCUGAUAAACACCACAGAUCCAUUUUGGGGAAAAAACAAUACUAAGUUUCAUGCACAUUUUCAUCUAUACUUUUCUAGAGUUGGAGUUGUUAGCUAUUCUUAUAUAGAAUUAAGAUAGAUUAAAUAUGUUCAGGAUCAUAGAUAUCUUUAUCACUUGUCAGUAAAUCUUUAUUAUAGAAUUUAAGAAGUAUUUUGCUAGUUUUGCAUCUUUGACAGUAUGAUAUUGUUGUUGAUAGUUGUAUGAUUAAGUGGCUCGGGGAAUUACCAUAUUUGAUGUGUGACAGAUGUUAAUUUGAAAGUAGAUGUGAUGAGGACUGUAAUUCCCAUCAGCGCUGUGCUUAGCAACCUAAGCCUAUUUUAUCUUAUUAUUAUUAUUAUUAUUAUUAUUAUUAUUAUUAUUAUUAUUAUUAUUAUUAUUAUUAUUAUUAUUAUUAUUAUUAUUAUUAUUAUUAUUAUUAGACUAACAGCGCAGGUACGAUCGGAUAUCUUAGAUAAAAAGAGUAAGAAAUCCACCUAAGUAGAUGGAGUGAAGAAUGAUUGCACAAAGAAACCUUCCCACGCAGCCAAGGUGCCUUCCUGCGCAGCCAAGUAGCUUUCCCGUGCAGCCGCGCAGCCAAACCAGAGCAGCGCAGACCAAAGCAGAGCAGCGCAGACCAAAGCAGCGCGGCAGCGCUGCGCAGUCAGAGCAGCACCACCAAAGUGCCUUUCCUGCGCAGCUACGUAUGAUAGUUCAACUUCGGGAAUAAGACCAUUGUACUGAGUUUUGGGCCCAAUUGACUAGAUGAGUGGGCUUUUAGAAUUAGGGUUUGCUCACAAGCUAUAAAUAGCACAUCUAUUGGAAAACUAGGGGAUGAACUCAUUCAAGCAACAUAAUUGUAAUAUGUAACUCUCUCUCAAAGUAUAGUAAAACCAACGAAGAACCUCUCGUGGACGUAGGUCUUGAUGGCCGAACCACGUAAAUCCGUGUGUCAUUUAUCGCUUUCUAAUUUCUAGUUUAGGUGUUGGUGAUUCAGUGCUUCACCAACUGGCGCCGUCUGUGGGAAUAUUGAGCUAAGGCGUGAGAUUCAUGGUUUCCGGUUACUAUUCAUCGAGAAGGGAGAAGUACUGUUCAUCGAAGCAAAAUCACUGUUCAUCGCAAAAAGGGGAAAUGGGGGAUCUGGUCACUGUUCAUCAAAAAGAAAAAAAGGAAAAAAGGGAAGGGCUACCCACUCGAACUACACCACCACUGCGCAGGGACCACUACUGCGCGAGAAUCGCGCGCCGCCGCACACCACCGCCGGGUCUCGUUUUCUCCUGAUUUACGGCUAGUCUACACCGAAUCUCGUCGUCGCCAACAAGAAGCAAGGACUUCCAAUUUUGAAUCUGGUCGAGAUACCUUCGAUCCAAAUCUAGACUCCCAAUCUCUCUUGGGAUAAAUCUGAGCAAUCCGAAGUUGGAGAUCAGCGUUUCUCUUCUUCGAGGAUUCCGUGGCUGCGCAGUCUACAGUCAGGCGNAUAGAUUAAAUAUGUUCAGGAUCAUAGAUAUCUUUAUCACUUGUCAGUAAAUCUUUAUUAUAGAAUUUAAGAAGUAUUUUGCUAGUUUUGCAUCUUUGACAGUAUGAUAUUGUUGUUGAUAGUUGUAUGAUUAAGUGGCUCGGGGAAUUACCAUAUUUGAUGUGUGACAGAUGUUAAUUUGAAAGUAGAUGAAUGUUAAUGUGUCAGCAACUCUUCUAAAUAUUUGUUUUAUGUUUUCCCAUUGUGUAUGUGGGAUCUUAUUAAUUAGUUCUUGCAUUUUCAGGUUAAUGAUUCUAAAGACUCUGCAAUAAUAGAGCCAUGCAUGACAGUUUUUAGAAAUCUUAACUGCUCUCUUUAUGGAGAUUUUUAGGUUCAAGCAACGAAAGAGCAAGCCCAACUCUGGCUUAUUAAUAUAAGCUUGGUAACUUUGAGGUGAGGUGACCCUCAAAAGUGUCAUUAUGAUCCAUCCCUAUUGUGUCUGCUAACAGGGGUUUUCUUUAAAAUUUGUAGGCGGCAACUGCUAUUCAGAGAAGGUUGGAUCUCGAUGCUACCUGAGGAACUAUUUGGUGCUUCUUGGAUCUCUUUUAAUGCAUUUAUACUACCCAAAACUAAAGGGAAUCGGUUUUUAGGAGCAAGAUCUGAGACGGUUGGGAUAGAUGUUGAUGCUUCAGUUUGCGUCUGAAGAAUAUGAUCUUUCUUGUUUUCAUUAGGUUUCUGUAUCGUAGUUGCCUUCUUUCAUAUUCAUCCUCCAAUUUUUGGGAU
rnacentral:lncRNA from 1 species